GAUGAAGAACGUAGCGAAAUGCGAUACUUGGUGUGAAUUGAAGAAUCCCGUGAACCAUCGAGUCUUUGAACGCAAGUUGCGCCCGAAGCCAUUAGGCCGAGGGCACGCCUGCCUGGGCGUCACACGUCGUUGCCCCCCCAUCUACUCCUUCGGGAUUGCGGGGGGCGGAUGAUGGCCUCCCGUGCGCCUCGCCGCGCGGUUGGCAUAAAUGCCAAGUCCUCGGCGACGCACGCCACGACAAUCGGUGGUUGCGAAACCUCGGUUGCCCGUCGUGUGCGGUCGUCGCGCAUCGAGGGCUCGAAAAAAUUGCCGGGUUCCGGCUCGGCUUUCAACGCGACCCCAGGUCAGGCGGGGUUACCCGCUGAAUUUAAGCAUAUCAAUAAGCGGAGGA
rnacentral:misc_RNA from 1 species